UAUGCGUGUGACCAGGGAUUGAACCUACAACCUGGAAACAUCAAGUUGAUUUCAGAUGAGAGACAGUCACUGACAAGCUGCUUCCUGCAUGUCUCCAUCUGGGGGAUUUAGCCUGCAACUGGAUAUGUAAUCUGACCAGAAAUCAAACCUCCAUCUCCUGGAUCAAAGAAAGGUCAAUGCUCAACUGCUAAGCCAUGCCAGGACUCAACAAAAUGUAAAAUGUAAAAAUGAACUAUGUUGUAGAUUUACCUUAUGCAAAUAUCUUUAUAUUAUCUCUGAAAAUAAAAACAAUGUCUUUUUAAAGCACA